rnacentral:tRNA from 1 species
CGGGGAUUGGGAAAGUCUGGUUAAUCCGUCUGCUUUGGGAGCAGAAGAUCGCAAGUUCGAAUCUUGCAUCCCCGACCA